rnacentral:rRNA from 1 species
GUGCCAGCCGCCGCGGUAAUACAGAGGGUGCGAACGUUGUUCGGAAUUACUGGGCAUAAAGCGCGCGUAGGCGGCGACGUAAGUGUAGGGUGAAAUCCCACGGCUCACCCGUGUGAAUUGCCCCGCAUACUGCGUUGCUCGAGUGUGGUAGGGGAGAGCGGAACUCCUGGUGGAGCGGUGAAAUGCGUAGAUAUCAGGAGGAACACCGGUGGCGAAGGCGGCUCUCUGGUCCACAACUGACGCUGAAGCGCGAAAGCUAGGGUAGCGAACGGGAUUAGAUACCCCCGUAGUCC